CCUACGGUAGGCAGCAGUGAGGAAUAUUGGUCAAUGGGCGCUAGCCUGAACCAGCCAAGUAGCGUGAAGGAUGACUGCCCUAUGGGUUGUAAACUUCUUUUAUAUGGGAAUAAAGUGCAGUAUGUAUACUGCUUUGCAUGUACAUUAUGAAUAAGGAUCGGCUAAAUCCUUGCCAGCAGCCGCGGUACUACGGAGGAGCCGAGCGUUAUCCGGCGUUAUUGGGUUUAAAGGGAGCGUAGGCGGGUUGUUAAGUCAUUUGUGAAAGGAUGCGGCUCAACCGUAAAAUUGCAGUUGAUACUGGCAUCCUUGAGUACAGUAGAGGUAGGCGGAAUUCGUGGUGUAGCGGUGAAAUGCUUAGAUAUCACGAAGAACUCCGAUUGCGAAGGCAGCUUGCUGGACUGUAACUGACGCUGAUGCUCGAAAGUGUGGGUAUCAAACAGGAGUAGAUACCCGAGUAGUC
rnacentral:rRNA from 1 species